CCUCCUCAGAUUUAGCUGAAGCCUCUAUUUGUUCUCUUUCUUUUCUUAUUGAACCAGCCUGCAAAAUUAGUUCUUCCUUCAUCUUCACUUCUUGUUGCCAUCUAGCCUCAUGUUGUUCCUGUAGUUGUUUAGCCAGCUCUAGAUCCUGUAAUAGUUGUGUGACCUUGCGUUUUUCAGCUGCAAGUUCUUCCUGUAAAAUAGUUUUCUGCUUCUCCCAUGAUUGAAACUUCAUCUGCGUCUUCUUCUCCCUCUUUGAUACUUCUUGACAACUUGCAGCUGACUCUGCUGCACGCAAUUUUGCAGCUUCCAUCUCUUGCCUCAGCAUACCAUUCUCCACCUCAAGCCUCCGGACAGCAGAAUUAGCUCUCUCUACUUGCCCAAUAGCCUUGCCCAAUGCAUUUUCCAUCUCUGUGAGCUUCUUCAUGGUGUUCUCUUCCAAAGUUUGUUUCUCUUUCUUGAGCCGUUCAACCUCCUCCUUCUCCUGUCUAAGUGACUUAAGUUCAGCCUUAUCCUUAGUUAGCCUUCGAGCAGCCUGCAUAACUUUCUGGUU
rnacentral:misc_RNA from 1 species